rnacentral:rRNA from 1 species
GAUGAACGCUGGCGGCGUGCUUAACACAUGCAAGUCGAACGGAAAGGCCCAAGCUUGCUUGGGUACUCGAGUGGCGAACGGGUGAGUAACACGUGGGUGAUCUGCCCUGCACUUCGGGAUAAGCCUGGGAAACUGGGUCUAAUACUGGAUAGGACCACUUCUUGGAUGUUGUGGUGGAAAGUUUUUUCGGUGUGGGAUGAGCUCGCGGCCUAUCAGCUUGUUGGUGGGGUAAUGGCCUACCAAGGCGUCGACGGGUAGCCGGCCUGAGAGGGUGUACGGCCACAUUGGGACUGAGAUACGGCCCAGACUCCUACGGGAGGCAGCAGUGGGGAAGAUUGCACAAUGGGCGCAAGCCUGAUGCAGCGACGCCGCGUGGGGGAUGACGGCCUUCGGGUUGUAAACUCCUUUCGCUAGGGACGAAGCGUUUUGUGACGGCACCUGGAGAAGAAGCACCGGCUAACUACGUG